rnacentral:lncRNA from 1 species
CUCGUGUUUGUGGAGGCUUGGCAUAGACGCAUGGCUUAAACACACAGGAUCCUGCUAUUGAAGCAUUAUAGGGCCCAACAACCAAUGAGCGCUUUUAACAUCCUCCAGUAGGGGGCAGUAGUAACCGCAGAAAAAGGAAAGCUUUGCUAAGUUGUGAAACCAUGAUUGCUUUCUGCUAACUUGUCUGAAAAACUGACUGAAAUUAGGAUACUCCCACUUAAAGAGGUAGUGCUUUACCACAGUGACGUAGAUACAGGGAACCACAUUUUUAGAGCCGGCUGGAAGGUACUGGUUCUCAAUUUCAUACGCUCCUCCAGAGGACAGGGGAGCCAUGGCUAUCUGCUGAGGUGGUUAGAAACAGUCACCCAAGCCUCCCUAGGACAAGUCCUUCCACAUGAUUGUCAAAGUUUGUCAUAUUCAGAGACCUAAUGUCUCUUAAAACGCUUAAGAGUUUCACACUGAGUCUUACCACCCAAAGUACGCUCUCCCAGCGUCCUUGCUGCUAGGGACACAGUUCCGGGAGGGAGCCUCCAGCAGAGACCAGAGACUGACUCAGAAACACCACAGUCAGUGGGGGAGCCCUUCUUAGAAUAUGGCAGCUACUUGAGUUGGUGAGUUUAAUCAAGAAUUGGUGAGAAUCAACAAGACCAAAACACAAAUUUCAAUUCAUGUUACAUCACUUAGUUAAUGCAUGUUUUACCAAGUUAUUUAUUAUGUUUGAAGGCAAGAGGUAGUUGUUAGGAAAACAAAGCAAAAGUAUUUGGCAGGGGUGCCGAGUCUAAUCAAGAUUGCCCAAUGACCCCGUUUUUCUGGCUUCUCUGCAAUGUUUGGCAGUUAGGAGAAUCCAAAAUUGGUAAUGAGUUUGAGUUCAGAGGCAAAUAUCCACCUAGUCUAUUAAUUCAGCUAAGCUCUGCUUUUCCAGUACUAGAAUAAAGUAGAUACUUUGAUUCACACAGAGUUGAAGCUUAUCAGAAAGGCAAAACAGAGCUCAGAACAAAAAGAUUCUCACUUGGGGAAAAAGACUAGUUACCAAGGAAAUAAAGACAGCAGCUGGAAUAUUGAGACAAAGUAAAGGGGUCAACAGACUAAGUCCAUGUGAAGACACAGAACAAUCUUAAUAGAACCGAGGUGGGAGGAGUUGAACUAGCAAGCUGGAGAGGAAGACAAGUCAGCGAGUGAAAACUGAGUUCGGUAUUUGGGAGAACAAAGGGCAAGGUGUUAACCACCCACUCAUAUGGAAGUAGAAGCAACUGACAGUAAGGUGAGUCAGGGGGGAGGGGGGCACUUCCACAACCAUCCCCUCACCUGUCCAUGCUAUAGAACUAGUAUCUGGCUUUUGAACCAGAUCUUGGGUUCAAAUCCCAGGACCUCUCAGAAGGGAGACUGCGCCAUUGACCUCUGAGUGUUACCUGUAAAAGCUGAUAACUACCUGGGACUGAGUAGUUGACAUUCAUCUGGCAGUAGGCCACUACUUAAAUGCUUUCUCAGGUAAGUCAGUGCAAGUAGAAACUGACGGUUUAACACCUCAGAGUAAGAUUUCUACAUCAGUUCUAGUUUGCCAGGUGACAGGUACUGAUUGCUUCACUGAAUCAGACAGGUAUUGUUCAUUUUCUUCAUAGUAAAAUCUAGAUUCACUGAAGUACAUGCAUGAGUUAAUCAUGUAUGACAAGCAGCAGCCCUUAACUGGUUUUAUUUUGUUAAGACAGCCAGGAGAGAUAUCAGAUGGAGUUAAGCCACAAAAAAUAGAAGGAAAAGACAGUAAGAUGCGUUCCAAGUUAUUAUGACAGAUUUACUCCACCCUUUGUCUCUAUUUGGUCAUUUAGUCUGAUGCAAUUGUGUACAUGACUAAGCUCAUGACAUUUAACCAGUCACCUUGCCACACCAAAAGCUUCCUUUCACAUAAUGUAGAAGCCCCAUGUCACCCACAGUCGACACUUGAGUCAGUGUACACAAGAGCUGAGCAAGCAGAUAGGACUUUGUGACACAGGAAAUGAUUGUUGUUCCCCUAAGACAUCUAAGCUUCUUGCUGAGCAAGGUCGGAAUGACAGCCGCCUGCUUAAAGUAAACCCAAACUCAGAUUCAGUUUGAUAUUUAUGAUACCUAACCCUUAACCACAAUAUUAAACAUUUGGUCAAACAUUUGUUCUCUAGGCAUAUUAUAGCAAGUCAUUGUUAAGGGUGAUUUAAUUUUAUACAAACACUUAACAUCCUAAAUUGAACAAUUUCCUAGGUUGAGAGAUUUAGAAAGUGACAACCUCUAGGCCUCAGACUGUUCUCUAUAAACGAAACCACCCCAUAAGGUAGUUACUGCUAAUGAAUAAGUGAACCAGUAUAUGUCAAGCAUUCAGAGUAAUGGUAUAAAGGCUUAGCUACUGUACCUACUAUUCCCUGUCCAUAUCCACAUGUUUUAUCAAGUCAUGACCCUGAUCUACUGUUCACCAAGAACAUGAUGGUCCUACAUAUUAGCAACGAACAUGUAUAUAAACUGAAAAUGCCUAUGAAAGGAAAAGAGGGAACCAGAACCAUCAAUAUCUACUCAAGUUUAAAGCACAGUGGUAAAAAUGGAUUAAGGGUAUGAAAUAGAACUCGAGCAUAAGAGUUCAAGAGAGGUGGGGAAAAGUGAUAUAAAAUUAGGCAAGAGUAACCAGUAUGAAGGAGAAUCGAACCAGGACAAUACUGAAGAGAACCCAAACAGAAGGGCUCUAUAUCAAGGAUCCAGUGUGUUUUAAGAGAUCUGCUUUGAAUUGGCCACUAAAGCAGGCUAAUUUCCAGGUUAUAUGAAACAGCCUAGUAGAAACAAACGUGGAGAAGCUGCAUUCAAUGGGGGGAAUUCACUAUGAAGGACACCAAAUAGAGAUAAACCUGGCUUCCUCAAUCUGAAGGGGAUCUCAAAACAUUAACAGUGCAAUUGAUUGUUUGGAGUGCCCAUGGCAUCAUUUCAGGAGUCCUACUUUCAAGUUCAUGUAGGAACUUGUGACAUCGGUUGAUCUGAUAGAUUCCUCACCCCUGUAAGAGGUAUAGGAACCUUUAAAACAUUCUAAAAUACACUCAAUUUCAACAAUUCAUGGGGCUAGGUGGAGGACAGGAAGACAUUCAACAGCUGGCACUUCAGAAAACUUCCAAACUCUUAGGAAUCACUAAUAGAUGGAUCUAUUAAUUCAAAUUGCUAGUAAGUGUCCCCAUAGAACUGUAGGGACACGCCAAUUACCAAGUUACAAAAACUCAGGCAAUACAUUUAGUACCUGAUCAUAAAGAAAAACAAGCCCUGUAAGAUGCAAUUCUAAGCUUUCACGUUUCUAAGCUUCAAACAAAAGCCCUAUGAAUCAUGCUUGUGGUUUUAAAUAUUUGAGGAAACUAUUGCCAGAGUCAUUACCCAUUUACCCAGAUCUUGUAGAUUCUUAGACAAACAUAUUUAAUGGUUUUCAUCUGUUAGUGUCACCUGACUGAGGUGACUAACUGGGUGUCUGACAGCUGGAGUAGAGAUUACAUUUCUUUCAGCCUGAAGUGUUGAGUCAAACAGAUACCAGUCAGUUCCCCAUGCCUAGGUCCUUUGUCUACUGCCAGGUUUGGGCAUUUACCUCCAGAAUGGUUCUGUUUCAAUAGGCAAGGGAAGUUACCUAAGAGUACAUGUGCAAGAAUUGCCUACAUCAACAAGUCACAUAUCUUUGGCCCGUCUCUUGGAUUUUCUUUCCCCAGAGUAAUCAUGUUACAUUAACUCAAGACCACAAUUGGCAUUUGCAGACUCACCUUACACAAAUGUUUUUAUUGCUGGAGUAGCGGCCAAAGCUUGGCUUGGGAAAAACAGUGGAAGUCUGUCAAGACUGGGAUGAGGGGACCACUAUUUUUGAGUUGAGCUUUUCCAAAUAACUUCUGAAAGAACAGACAAAGCAGGUGCCGCCUGUAAGAACAGCAACUUCUUAGAGGUUAACACAAUUCGACAAGGCAUCAGGUUGUGGGAACACUUCGUUACCAUGAAGAUUAGCUGCCUCUUCUGGUGGCCCACAAGCAGCUCCUGCAUCACAACUGGCUCCUAGUCACAAGCUGGCCCAGUCCAUUAUGCAGCUCAGUGGUUAAGAGCACAUUUGGAAAGUGCUUUAAGUAUUGAACAUAAUUUAAAAACUGAGCCAAACAAAGCCACAAGCAGUAUUCGAGAUUCAUUACUCUUAGCAUCAGUCACACAAGAAACAAUCCAGCAUCAUAGAGUAGCAGAGUGAAGAGAAAGCACCUAGGCAUCCAAGUAAAAUGGAGUUAACCCUGUGUGACAAGGUAAAUGGGAUCCCACUUCUCAGAUACAUAAUGGGGUAACAAACACUUCUUACAGGCUGGAGAUCUAGUUCUUAACUAAGGAUGAUAUUCAAGUUAUUUAGCAGCCAAAUCAGUCAUGUUGUAGGAGUAGUAGUAAUAGGGCCACCAACUUAUGUAGCAUAAGUUACUCAAUAACACUUUAAUAGGUCCAAAUCCUUCAAUGAGUUUUAUAGUGUAGCUACUAGUAGUUCAGUAACGCUCCUACUUAGCUAGGAUUUAGGAAAGGACGCUAUUACCUGCAGAUGACUUCUCCAUUGGCCUAAUGAUCAUUAGGCCUCUAAAGAUUUGUUGCAGCUGGAGGGUGGCUGGGCAUUCAGCACACAAGAUGUGACAAGGUACAUAGCUGCAUGCAAUCAACCUGAGGUCACCUGAAAAUGCCAGUAGCGUGCCCCUGCAAUGCUGGGAAGUUCCUGAGAAUCAGGCAGAUGCUGCGCAUGCCCACUCAACGACCCCGAAUCUCUCACUCGUGGCCACCUGGACCAUCAAACAUCUGUACUGACGCAGCUCCUGGGCUCCCAUUCUCCAACCUGGGGACUGCUGCUGGCCGUCAUCAGUGGGGGAUUUGCCAUUUUGACAAGUAGAUAGCUUUUACCAAUGAUUGCCUUAAUUAACACAGAGCAUACUGACUGCUUCUAUAGCUGCUCAAACAUCUCACAGCCCACAAACAGCUUUGCAUUGUAUAUUUUAUUGUCACACCACCCCAAAUGACAGACAGCCAAUUUGCUCAUGUUUCAGCCUCCUAUAAGGGAGAGCAUAAUAAUGUCAGAAUCCAGAUUGUUACAUCUACCACCACCAUCCACAAUAGCAAGACCUCUCAAAGUACCCUCAGUUAUUUCUGGGCCUCAGGCUCAUGAAAAGUUGGCUCCAGUUCUGCUUUGGCCUUAUUUCUGUCAAGUGCCCAAAAGCCUAAGGGAAGUGCUACUGGUUUAACAGCUUCCAACCUUCCAGAUAUGCUAAAGGGAUCUGCAUUUCUCUCCGUGUCACAUUUCAUUCUCACCAUGUGAGAAGCAAACUAUGGUUCUUGAACAAAUGGGGCUAUCGCUUCGCUUCCUUACUACAUCAGUCACCUUGGCCUCACAGCAGCCCAGCUUGACCCUGGGGCUCAAUCUCAUGCCCUUCAGCCUCACCACAGUUCUGAUGCAGGUCUGAGGAACAGACACCUUUUUCUUCUCCAGUUCCCAAAAGCUUCCCCUUAGCAGUUAGAUGCGUCCAGUGAAUACAGACACCUGGGGAAGACCAGCCCAGCUGUUCUAAAUUCCAACCCAGGCUGAGUCAGUUUACUAGAAAGAAGAGUUUAGUAAGGAGUGUCGUGAAGAAGAUUCCCCCCUACUCUCGAAAUUUAGUUCAGUUUGAUGUGUAUUUACACUGGUCCUUAUUCAGGCACAAUAUCAUUUCAGGUCCUAAUAAACCACCUUUUUGCUGUAUACUCCUGUUGGCUUAUAAGAAGUCUCCUUAACAUGGCACAUCACUGAAAAGCACACUGAGCCUAAUUUGAGUGUAACUCAGCAGUAAGAGGCAGGGUCCCUCCAACCACGAAGAGACUCUAACGUGUUUUAGAGGAGGGGGUGGGUGGCGAGUGAGGCCUGGAUAAGGUAGGUAUUAAAUGCUUAAGUGUUUGAUCUCUUUAAGAUACCACUAACUUAAGUUGAAAAAUACUCAAAGAGCUACUUGUAUUUUUCCAGUAUCCUGUACUUAGAACAGCCAUGAGUUACUAAAAACUUUAGAAUGUGCGCUCUGGGUACACAUAGCACAGAGAAUUCCAAGACGAAGUCUGCCAGCAAUAAUCAAAUAAAGCGAUUGCUAGGGGUGCGGAAGGUGGUCAUAGCACUGACGUAGAAUCGUGUUAAACAUGAGGCAGUCAUUCUGACAAAGUUCAAGUAAGUAGUUUCAAUGGUUCCAAUGUUCUGGUUCCUGGGAAUUUCCCUCUUGACAGGUUUGCACACAAGUGACAGCAAUACUGAAACUACAUCGUAUGCAAGUCAGUUUAGACCAACAUCUCUAGAACAGGCGGCAAGUGAAGUUCAAGAGGAAUAGGCCCUGAAGUUACCUCUUCUUUUAUCUAGUCCAACACGAUAGCCCCUAGCCAUUGAACACUUGAGACAGGGCUAGUCUGAAUUGAGAUGUGCUGCAACUUUAAGAUGCAUACUAGAUUUCAGACUUAGUAGCAAAAAUACGUAGGCACGUAAGUUGUUACACUUCGAAAUAUUUUGUCUAUUGGGUUAGUAUAUUUUUUUAAUGAGGCCACUAUAACACCUGAAGUUACAUAUGCAGCUUAUACUUGUUUCACAUGAUGUGCCUCUUGGACAGCAGCAUCCUAGAGCCUCCUGUAAGUUCCCUAUAAAGACAGUGUGCAGAGAACCAUGAUCUAGAAGUUUCCCACAAAUGCUACCUUCAGGUAGAAGUUGAGGGUUCUUAGGGAUUAGAAAACUUGAUUUCAAAGAACUAGACAAGAUCAUCGACUUGUUUAGUUUAUACCACAGCCCAUCUCCCCUGGCAGUUCCUAAGACCCAAAGAUGAAAUGGUAUAUUAAAUAUCUUUAGACAACUAUCGCUUGUCGUUUAGUUGACCAUGCCUGAUCUAGCCUCUGAAAAUUCACUCAACUGCUUCCAAAACCUCACCAGCACAGAGCAAAACCAACCUGGGCUUUUCCAAGCUUCCUCCUCAUUUCAGAGCUUAGCCUUGCUUCCACUGGGCCACCACAUUAGGGAAAGACAGACCACAUUUUGUGGUCACCUACAGGGCUUUCCUGCUACUGAAAGGAAGCUUCAUUCCCCUCACUUCACACUUCCUACUAGGUUCUUAUCAAGCCCCUCUCUAUCACCUACUCUGAAUAAGACUGUGCCGGGGUUAGACACACAAGGUCAUUUUGAUGAAAAGUCUAGGGCAAAGUCGAAAUCCACUCCAGCCUUGUUUCCUAAGUUACUUCAAAGAAAAAAAAGCCCAACUUGCAAGUCAGCUCUGAUUUCCAGCCAGCAUGCCCUCACCCCUUCCUGUGGAGAGUUUCGCAUUGCCCUUAUGCCACAGCUGGGUGUUUGUGUCUCCCUGAACAGAAGCUGGCUUUUAAGAACUGUAAUGCGUGAGUAUCCUUCAAUAAGCGGAAGUAUGGUAUUUAGACCCUUUCAAACUGUGUUCCCCAGUACCUUGGGUAUUCUCUGGGCUCCUUGGGACAGGAGAUUAGUUGAAGGGUUCUGCACACACUCCCCUGCUCCUAGAUCAGGUUUCUUACUUUGCUAUACAUCGAGAUUCCACAAAAAUGUUCAAAAGCCACUGGCUUGAAUUACAACAUCUCAUGUUGGCUCACCUACAGGUAGAUUAACGGGAGGAAGGGCUCUUGAUAAUCAGUUAGCUACCUUUAACAAAUCCUUCUAGAGAAACUAAUAGCUUCUCCCAGAGGCACGGGUUUUAGUUCACCUGGUUCCAACUUCUAUUAUUGAAUUUCUUCACCUUUGCCCAUUUUCCCACUACCCCCUUUUCAUUGCUUAGUACUUGUCUGAGUGGCUUAUUACAAUUAAGAUAAAGUAGUUGUCUUCAACUAAGGACAGUUUGAUAGAUUUGGUGCUAAGAAAUGAGACAUGAUACAACCAGUUUCCUAGGAAAGCAGCCACUGGACGCUAGUGUUGAGCAACUCAGUCAACACUGGAUACUAAGCAAAAACCAAAAGAAUGAGUUGAUCUCGAAGUGGCCUUGGCACAACUGAGGAAUUUCAAUUAAUGCCACCCUAAGGGCUAGUCAGGGUUUUGGCUACUAUGAGCUGAAUCUCAGACAAGUUCCAAGAGAAAACAUAAGCCGAGGUUUGGGCUAAACUGAGCCCAGUGGCCAGAAAGCAGGCAGAGUGCACAUUAGGCCAAAGCUCAGAGAGGCAUCCACACAGACGAAACGGCCUAAGGCACAGCCAGGUUCCCAUUUGCGGAGGGGAGUCUUCCGCUAUUUCAUGUCAUGUUCUAAACAUAAGUUGACAUUUGAGAAGCUUGAUACUACUCAAAUUCCUUCUCCCCACUCUCAUGGUUUCAGCUAUAAACUUGUCUCCUCCUAACCCAUCAUACGUUUGAUAUCUAGAGCCAUGUGGCUCUCCAGAAGCCUGUCCAGUAACACCAACUACUUGUAGACAGCAGCUUCAUAGGACUCACCUGCAGUUAAGCCCUUAAUUGGGUAAACAGAUGACAAUUGUUUUGCCCUGCAUUUCUAAGGGGGGAAAGGCGAAACUUUUGUGCCUCCACUGUCAUCUUUUGAGGUGUUUUCUUUGCCUGAUAAUCCAUUGAGGUAUUUCAUCGAUUUGAAAGUGAAGUUGUAGACAGAGGUUCACUUUUCAUUUGUUUUCCUUGGUUUUCAUAGUGUUUGAUAAAGUUACAUAAAACAAAGUGCUAGUAGACAAGCUAUACCAUGCACUAUAAUAUCUUAGAAUUCACACCUAAAUUUAACCAAGUUCUUGGUUGACAGAAUCAAGUCACUAGUACACCAGCUUUUGGAAUUUCUGGAAGCAGAAAAAUUUUCCUAUCAAUAAAGAUACACAAUUACAGGUAAGGAGUCUACAGGAUGAGUAAUUAGGUAAUUGGUUUUCAGUGUUGUUAGGCAGCCAUGGAGAAGCAGAGCCACCCAUCCCUUUCCCUGGGCUUCAUCUUCCCCCCCCCCCCCCGCCCCCCCCCCCACCACCACCUGCCCCACACUCAGUUCUAGUUAUAACCAUUAACUAACAGUGUUGCUUAGAAAGGCUGGGCCUCUCAAGAUCCCAGGUCUUUUCUGUCAAGAAAUUCUAUGUUAAGCAGAUUGCCAGCACAGAACCACACAUCUCUUGAGUCGGGUAUCCAUGUGAUCUUUGCUAUUCUGAGCCCUGCUUCCUUCAUAAGUACAUUGUAAACAAAGUAACUCCACACUGACGGAGAUGAGAGUAGACAAAGGUGCAUGUCCUGACUCGAACUUUUUCUCCAUUUUUCCAGCUUUUUCUUAAAGAAAGUGACCUAGGUGUUUGAGAAGUGUGAUUUUUAGAAGAAAGCUUUAUAUAGUUGACCUAAAGAAACUGCAAUACAAUCUGCUAUGCAGCACCUGUGAAGUCAGUCAAGAGAAUGAAUACGUCCAUCACAUAGCAUGUUCUUGAGUCUCUCACAGAGAUGCCACAUCAUCCCCUUCCCCUGUAACAGGCACUUUUGUCUCUUGACAAGCUUAAGGAAGCCCCACAAUCCUUCUAGUGCUCCGGGUGGCCACCAUCUAACUAGAUAGUUUCCUCACUCUCCCAGCUGCAAAAGCUUCUCCUAAUCAUUCACCUAUCAGGAAAGUGCUUCCAGGUGAGUAAAUCUGGCACUGAAUGAAGAUCACAAGGUGAGAUAAUACAUUUCCCUCCACCUCCACAUCCAGGUAUAAGGUUUCAGCCCACAGGUUUUAUACAAAGUAUCUUCAGAUCAGACAGCUGCUUUCAAAGGGAAUGUAACUAAGACCCCACUCCUUGGUAAGAGGGCUCAAAAGCCACAUGAUGCUUGAAGUUCACUUUAGCUCCCUCCUUCACUAAACACACCACACAAAGGAUGUUUGCUUCCCACAAAUAAGUCUAAUUCAAAAAUUAGACUUUUCCUCCCAUGGUUUUCACCCAAGCUGACCCAAACUUUAGUCUCUAAAGCAGGAUGGAGAGAAGCUAGUUUUUGUGUCUGCCAUUACUCUGGACAGGAGUUUCUCUCCAAUAGAGGUUUUAGGAUUCCAACCGAAGGCUAGAAAUAAAGGCAUUUAGAAACUUCUCAAAGAAAGCAAGAUUACCAGGUUUACUCUAAGCAUAGGGGCUCUAAACUGACGUGUUUCUUUACUGCAGUACAUUAGCUGGGAGAGAGAUUUUGCUAAAGUAUCUUUUAUGCUAAAGGUUAAACAGUACUUAAAAAGCAGGUGACUUAAGAGAUUUGAUCAUGAGUCUCAAAAUUCACGAUCCCAUCUUAAGCUUCCCCAAGAUCUAACUUCCUUUAGAAACCCCAGUGAUAAGAAAAGCUUCUCCUCUGUCUCUAUUUCAAGCAAGAGAAGAGACGCCUGAUAAGACGACUCCAGGAAGUUGCCAUAACCUCCUAAGAGGUAUUUUCUGUCUGCACACAACUAGUUUCCAUUCUUUCAAGUUCCUCAAUCUGCUUAGAUUCCCUCGCCUAUUUACUUCGUUCAUUCUUUCCCUUUUAAAGUAAGCUAACCAAAAUUUCCCUUGAGAUCUACGAAAGGUUUGGUUCUUUCUACCCACCGCUCCUAGCCAGAUAACUUUUUAGCACGCAGUGUGCCUGUAAAACUUUGAACCACGUUCAGACCCCAACCCCAAACCACACCCAGCAGCACCAGAGCAACCU